rnacentral:lncRNA from 1 species
UUUUUUCCAUAAGGGUAACAGACGAUCAUUAAGUCCUCUGUGUCCUGGUAUUCAGGACAUAAUACCUUUACAUAUUAUACCAUUAAUUAUACAAAUAGAUUAUACAAUGUAGAUGACAAUGCAAGUUUUAAAUAAACUAGGUCAUUAUAAGAGUGAAAUGAAAUUCCUGUAUCACUAAUAAAUCCACAAGUUCUCCACAGUCUGAGAAUCCUUUACCAAAAUAGCCUUCAUUCAGUUUCUCCAAAGACUGCGUCAGACAAAGUUCAAAUCAAACAGUCUAGAAUUGCUGUUGCAGUAUAACAAAGCAGUCUUCAUUGCUAGCUUGCAGCAGGAGAUACACUGACCUAUUUCCACCUGGAGCUGCUCCUGGCACUGCGAGUUUUAUAUGGUUUGCAUAGUUCCUGUUAUUACAGUCCUGCAUUAGAAGUGGGGAGUUUUGCAUUGUGUCAGCUGUACCAUAAACAGGAAUAAUUCUUAUCUAUAAAAAGGACACUUAGAGUGGCAAAAUCCCACUUUUUGAUACCUCCUUUUCUUCAAGUAACUGAUACUGCUAUGCUGACAAAACUAAUAGCUCUUGCAAGCAUAUACAGACUGUGGUACCAGCACAGGGAUGGUUAUCUUUGGUAAGUUGCUCUUUGUGGUGCUUCUCGGUUUAGAAUUUAACUAAAUGGCUCAACAUACUUAAACAAAACAAAACCAAAAAACUUCAUAACAAAUUGACUACUCAGUACUCAACUAUUUGAAGCAUAUUUUGCAAUAAAGCAGUGAAUGCCUUUGAUGGGAAUUCUAAUAUGAAAAGAGUCCUGCUGAUUCAGUGCAACCUGCUGAGUACAGAUAAACACGGUUGUCAGUGUUCUACAGUGCUUACUCUAUAGCAGGACAUACCUUUGGUUUUAAAAUCUGUCUGAAAAAAAGCAGAUUUGAUCCAAAAGAAAGACAACUUACUUUGGUACACAGUUCUUUGUCUGGUAAAAAUCAUUAUUUAUCAUUUUUGCCAAGUAUUUGUGGAUCUUAAUGUUAAGUGUAUGUGGCCAAAAUAUAAUCACUGGUUUCCAAAUCAGACAAGCUAAUUUAAUCUGGUUUACAUGGAAGGUAUCUUCAAUUGUCAAACUCUGACAUCAACACUAUUCAUGCUAGAAAUAAUUAUUCAGAUGGUUAUAUACAGGUGCAGAUCUUGGAAGUGUUCAUGGGCAUUAAGAUAUUUUCUGAUUAAAGUUACUCAACCUGAAUAAAUACAAAUGUAAAGAUGAAAAGGUGCCUGUUUGUAGUGAUGGACAGCAGAGAAACUAAGUGAAGAGUAUGAGAGUAAUGCUAACUAUAGUGUUAUUUGUGAUUCAAUAAAAACAAGUUGUUGUGAUUAGCACAAUUUCCAUUCAAUUUUCUUUUUAUUCUUCCUUUCUCAUUCAUUCUUUUCUCCUUGUU